CCUUUGUCAGUUAUUUUCCAAAGUAACAAAACCAAAACCCCUUUCCUAUCGCUCUCUCCUCCUCGUGAAGAAACCCCAAGAGAAACCCCAAAAUCAAAACCCCAACCCCCUCUCUCUCUCCCGUGCGCUGUUGCCUCGCCGACUUCCCAAGCUCGCCGGAGCCGCGCCGACCCCCCCUCUCGCGCGGCACUGUUGCUGAUGUGCUUUUCCUGGCGCGUCUUCUUACUCCGUGUGGUGGUGGUGUUGUGGGUGGUUGUUACUCGCGCCGCUGCUAGGGAGUGUCGUGCUGCCACCGCACGCCGCCGCUGCUAGGGAGUGUGACUUCCACCCACUGCUCGUGGUUCUCUCUCACCUGUGUUCUCCCUGUCUCGCCUUUCUCGUCGGUUGAUGCUGUUGUUGGGGUGCUGUGGUGCGGCCGCUGGUUGUUCUUGCCUCACUUGCUCUAAACUCUCCUCGAGUCGAAGAAGGUGAAGACUGACACAUCUUCUCCUUCACGAAAACAUUUGGUUGUGUAUACCGCUGGGAAGAAGAAAGAGAAAGAUGCUGAUUAUGAUCCAAGCUGUGAGAAAUCAUUGUCUAAGAAGAAAGGCAAAGCUGAUUUAUCACUAGGGAACCUUACUUUUGCAAGGUCUAAUCCAGACGAAGAGAAAUACACUUUUGACCGAUUGUAUGUUUUUUCAUUAUUCUCCUUAUAUAUGCUAUGAUUGUUUAUGUCUUUUUUAAAUUUAUUUUUGUUCACUUUUCUUAGGAAAUCGACAGAGCAAAAAAUUAAGUUUAUUAAUCUACAUGUAUUGUCAGAUUAUUCUCAUUUAUAUGGAGUUGUUAGUAACCUCAAUGAUCAGCAGCAAAGAGACAUUAGGGAAAUAUGUUUUAGCAGUUUUCUAGAUAUUAGGAUAAAAAAGUUCUGUUCAAAUCUUUAUUUGGAGUUGUUGUUCAACUACAAUGCUUCGGGAAUAAUAUUUAUGACAAAGAAUGGAAAAGUAAUUUUUAAUAAGUUACCAUUAGAGAUGUGUUAGGGUUUACCUGUAUCAGAUAAAGCAAUUGAGAUGAUUGAUGAUUAUGCUUUUAAGAGGAAAGGUAGUCAGGUUUAGGAAUGAAGUGCUAGGAUGAAUUGACAUAGGUUGCUUGAUCUUUCUAAUCCUCAGAAAUCUGUUUAAGAAGUAUCAAAGUGGGGAUGAUUAUAAGAAGAUGUUUGUUAUUUUUUUUUGUUAAAGCUCUUUUGUUCACGUGGUUAUUUAUGGUCUGUCUUGAAGUGUGCAAAUAGUUUGGAAUAUGUAUCUAUGAUUUCGAGUUACGAUUGGUGUGGAAACGUGACACGUAGUCUUUGUACUGCUGUCUUGGACUGUCAUCAAAAUAUAAUGACAAGGAAGAACGAGUUCGGACAGAAGAAAAUUACAUUUAAGCUCCGGAGAUGCAUGGGUGUUCUAGCUCUUGCUGUUAUUCACAACUUCAAGUGUCGCAAUCUGGAUUUCUCAAAUGUGAGUAAGCCAUUUAUCACUUAUUGGCAGGAAGAUAAGUAUUUGACUAGUGUUGUGAAACAGUUUGAGAUGAACAUGAAUUUUAUUCUGUCAGUGAAGCGUGAUAAGGAGAAAAAUAGCAGUAGAGUACUUGAGUUUAAAGCUCAUUCUACACGUGAGGUUAGUGUUGCUAGUGUUAUAAAGUCUGAUUCCCCUACAAUAAAGAUGGUUGAGGGUUCAUCACCUUCAACUAGACAGUUUGUUAUGGAUUUACCUCCAAUUUUGAUGACCGAUAAGGAAAUAGAUGGAUCAACUAAUGUUUUCGUGAAGAAAAAAUUGGACCAACUGAAAUAAUCUAUUUGCUCAUCGAUCAUCAAAAUACGAGGUAAAUUCAUAACAAGCUGCCUAGUUGAAGGUAAUGGACCCUCAACCACAUUUAUUGUAGGAGAACCAGACUUUAUAACACUAGCAACAUUAAUUUCACGUGUACAAUGAGCUUUAAACUUAAGUACUCUACUAUAAUCUUUCUCCUUCUCAUUAUCACGCUUUAUUGGCAGAAUAAAAUCCAUGUUAAUCUUAAACUGUUUCACAACAGUAGUCAAAUGCUUAUCUUCCUGCCAAUAAGUGAUAAAGGGCUUACUCACAUUUGUGAAAUCCAGAUUGCGACUCUUGAAGUUGUGAAUAACAGCAAGAGUUAGAGCACUCAUGCAUCUCCAGAUCUUAAAUGUGACUUUCUUCUGUCCGAACUCGUUCUUCCUCGUCAUUAUAUUUUGAUGAUAGUCCAAGACAGCAGUACAAAGACUACGUGACACGUUUCCACACCAAUCGUAACUCGAAAUCAUAGAUACAUUUUCCAAACUCUUUGCACAGUUCAAGACAGACCCUAAAUAACCACGUGAACAAAAGAACUUUGACAAGGAAAAAAUAACAAACAUCUUCUUGAAAUCAUCCCCACUUUGAUACUUCUUAAACAAAUCAUCCCAUUUUUUUUUUUUGCUAAUAUAUGGCUUCUGAAGAUCAGAAAGAUCAAGCAACCUAUGACAAUCCAUCCUAACACUUUCUGUCUCAACCUGACUACCUUUCCUCUUAAAAGCAUCAUCAUCAAUUACCUUAACUGCUUUAUCUGAUACAGGUAAACCAUAAUAUAUCACUAAUGGUAAACUUAUUAAAAAUUACUUUUUCAUUUUGUCAUAAACAUUAAUCCCGAAGCAUUAUAGUUUAACAACAACUCCAAAUAGAGAUUUGAACAGAACUUCUUUAUCCUAAAAUCUAGAAAACUGAUAAAACAUAUUUUCCUAAUGUCUUUUUGCUGCUGAUCAUUGAGGUUACUAACAACUCCAUGUAAAUGAGAAUAAUCUGACAAUACACGUAGAUUAAUAAACUUAAUUUCUUGCUCUGUCAAUUUUCUAAGAAAAGUGAACAAAAAUAAAUUUAAAAAAGACAAACAAUCACAGCAUAUAAAAGGAGAAUAAUGAAAAAACAUAUGAUCGGUCAAAAGUGUCUUUCUCUUCGUCCAGAUUAGACCUUGCAAAUGUAACAUUCCGUAGUGAUAAAUCAGCUUUGCCUUUCUUCUUAGACAAUGAUUUCUCACAGCUGAAAGAAAGAAAGUUUAAUCAAAUAAACAAUAUCAAGACCAAAUGAAAGGAAAAACAACACAAGUUGAAAGAAUAAUAAAACUAACUGAAACAAAGUAAAAUGAAAUUUAAAUGAAAAACGAAGCACUAACUUGACCUAUGUGAUUAUGAGUAUAGUAUGUGAAUGGUUUUAUCGUUGAUUUUGUAGUUAGUGCUUAUGGAUCUCAAGUUUUGGUGUUUAAGUUAUUUCUCCUUAGUUAAUUCUAGAGAGACCUAUAGUAAUUGUUGUCGGUACUUGAUAAUUGUUGUUAUCAUCAUGGAGAUAAAAUGUGGAUUGAUAAUCAUGAAGUGUAAGAGUAUAUAAACUAUUUAUAUGCAAGAGUAUGGAUUAUCAGUAUUUAGUAACUCUGGUUAGUUAAUUCUAACAGAAAGAUUUUUCAUUAUUAUUGUUGGUAUUUAUCAACUAUGAUUGUUUACAAGUUAGUGUGGUCUACAAGUUCUAUGAUUGGUGUUGAAUUGAAUAUGAAAGUAUAUAUGAAUCGGCCCUGGAAUACUUGUAAGGAUGCUAUGCUAAGCGUUUAUGGUUCUCUAAAUUAGUUUUGUGGUUUGUUUUGUUAUAAAAAUUUGUUAAUAAUUAUUAAACUAUUGGAUGAGAUCCAAGAACGAUCUGAUUGAAAUAUGAAUGAUAAUGGGAAGUGAUCCGAAGGGGAAAUUAGCCUCGUCUGAGUCGACGAAUGAGGUGACAAUGAAUAGUACCCCUUGGAAUGUGAACCUUAAGGGGUCCCCACAGGGAAACCUGCCCAUUGCUAUGUGGGGCGAUAUUUGGGCGAUAUAUCAAGUAAUGUGAAACCUGUGGAUGACUGAUUGAAUCAAUGGAAAAAUGUUCUCCGGAUUAGUCGCGGUUAUUAGCCAAAAGUGAAACAAAUGGUUGGGUGAUGACCCCCACUGUCAGAGUUUAAGCUUUGUCUCCUCAGUCGCGUUCUCUUUCCCCUGGUUAAUAAAAAGUUAUCUCAAAUUAUGAAAGUUAUAUCGAUGUUGGAUUCCCUAUAAGCAAUUGUAUCUUUUUAUUGGAUUCCUGAUAAGGAAUCGUAUCAUGGUAAGUUGUUUCGUUUUUGGAUUCUCGAUAAGGAAUCAUAUCGGGUAUGUAAUGAAUGUUUAUUCAGUAUUUGAAUAUAAAUAUCAAUAAUGGUUUCCUGAUAAGGAAAUAUAUCAUGUUAAUUUAUACUCAUGUUGGAUUCCCAAUAAGGAAUUGUAUCUUGUUAUUGGAUUCCCGAUAAAGAAUCAUUAUAGUGAAAGUUGUUAUGUUAUUUAUUGCCUGAUAAGAGUUUAUGUAUCACAGUGUAAGAAAAUGAUUAAUAGGGUAUGGAAGCAUAAGUUUCGAGUUCUGAUAAGAAAUCAAUUAAAGGAAAUAAAGUAUAUUGCUUAUACCAAAGUUGGUGAACUCAGAUUUCUUAUAAGGGAUCGUGAUAUGUUGAAAGAUUGACUAAUUAGAUUUAUAUGAAAUGUAUAUUUGUUGUGAUUGUUUGAAGUCGCGUUGUUGUGUUUGUUGUUAUGUGAAUCAUGGUGUAAUAUAGAAGGGUUAAUCGGAUAAAGAUAUAUAUGUAUGUGGUCAACAAGAGUUGAUGAGAUGCAUGUUGUGACAGCGUGAUUGAUGUGAUUAUGAUAACUAUUGAGUUGUUUUCAAGUAAAAGCCACCAAAGCAUAUGUUAAGCUUAUUUACGGGCUUAGUACUUAGCUUUGCUGAUGUGUGUAUGUCAUUUUGUCAUUUUUAUGGUCUAUCACUUGUUAGGUGGCAGUAUCCUAAAUGUUUCAGGUUGAUGUCGUAAGUUAAUCUUUUGCAAGUUGAAGCUGAUAUGAGCUGGAGCAGUGUUAUAGUUGUUAUCGAAGUGAGGACACUCGACGUUGUAGUAGUUAGUAAUCAAAUUUGUUAUAACAUAACUCUGUAUUUAAGAAUUGCUAGCUAGUGCUCCUGAUUCUCUGUUGGUUGUGCUCCGCGAAAGCGUUGAGGUUGUUGAGUUUGGAGUAUUUUAUAAAUUGAAAUUAUAAACAAGUUUAAAUUAUUUACUGCUUUAGGGUUGGCCUAUUUUCAAAGAAAACUAUCGGAUUUUAUGUAAAAA